rnacentral:rRNA from 1 species
AGUGAACGCUGGCGGUAGGCCUAACACAUGCAAGUCGAACGGCAGCACAGGAGAGCUUGCUCUCUGGGUGGCGAGUGGCGGACGGGUGAGGAAUACAUCGGAAUCUACUCUGUCGUGGGGGAUAACGUAGGGAAACUUACGCUAAUACCGCAUACGACCUACGGGUGAAAGCAGGGGACCUUCGGGCCUUGCGCGAUUGAAUGAGCCGAUGUCGGAUUAGCUAGUUGGCGGGGUAAAGGCCCACCAAGGCGACGAUCCGUAGCUGGUCUGAGGGGAUGAGCAGCCACACUGGAACUGAGACACGGGCCAGACUCCUACGGGAGGCAGCAGUGGGGAAUAUUAGACAAUGGGCGCAAGCCUGAUCCAGCCAUACCGCGUGGGUGAAGAAGGCCUUCGGGUUGUAAAGCCCUUUUGUUGGGAAAGAAAUCCAGCUGGCUAAUACCCGGUUGGGAUGACGGUACCCAAAGAAUAAGCACCGGCUAACUUCGUGCCAGCCGCCGCGGUAA